UACGUAGGUGGCAAGCGUUUGUCCGGAUUUACUGGGCGUAAAGAGCGCGCAGGCGGUCGUGCAAGUCGCGUGUGAAAGCCCCCGGCUCAACUGGGGAGGGUCACGCGAUACUGCUCGACUGGAAGGCAGGAGAGGGAAGUGGAAUUCCCGGUGUAGUGGUGAAAAUGCGUAGAUAUCGGGAGGAACACCAGUGGCGAAGGCGACUUCCUGGCCUGUUCUUGACGCUGAGGCGCGAAAGCUAAGGGUAGCAAACGGGGAUUAAGAAAACCCUGGUACGUCCG
rnacentral:rRNA from 1 species